UACGUAGGGUGCAAGCGUUAAUCGGAAUUACUGGGCGUAAAGGGCUCGUAGGCGGCCAACUAAGUCGGAUGUGAAAUCCCCAGGCUUAACCUGGGAACUGCAUCCGAUACUGGAUGGCUUGAAUUCGGGAGAGGGAUGCAGAAUUCCAGGUGUAGCGGUGAAAUGCGUAGAUAUCUGGAGGAAUACCGGUGGCGAAGGCGGCAUCCUGGACCGACAUUGACGCUGAGGAGCGAAAGCUAGGGGAGCAAACGGG
rnacentral:rRNA from 1 species